rnacentral:rRNA from 1 species
CGCGUAGGCGGAAUGGCAAGUCGGUCGUGAAAUCCUUCGGCUCAACCGAAGAACGUCGAUCGAAACUGCCGUUCUUGAGGAUUGCAGAGGAGACUGGAAUUCCCGGUGUAGCGGUGAAAUGUGUAGAGAUCGGGAGGAACACCGGUGGCGAAGGCGGGUCUCUGGACAAUUCCUGACGCUGAGGCGCGAAAGCGUGGGGAGCAAACGG